UUGAGUACCUUUGUGAAUGGAGAAUUUGGGGAUUUGGGUUAUGUUGCUCCAGAGUAUGCAAAAACUCUGGUGGCCACUCCAAAGGGUGAUGUUUACAGCUUUGGAACUGUUCUUCUGGAGCUGGUGACUGGUGAGAGACCAACCCAUAUUGCUAAAGCUCCAGAAAGUUUUAAGGGCAGUUUGGUUGAAUGGAUUACACAGCUGUCAAGCAACUCUCAACUUCAAGAUGCCAUAGACAAAUCUUUGGUUGGGAAGGGUGUUGAUAAUGAGAUUUUCCAGUUCCUUAAAGUUGCAUGUACUUGUGUACUGGCAAAUCCCAAGGAGAGGCCGACUAUGUUUGAAGUAUACCAGCUUCUAAGGGCUAUUGGGGAGAAAUACCACUUUACCACUGAUGAUGAAAUUAUGAUGCCUUCAGACAAUGGUGAUACUGAUUAUAUAGAGGAACUUAUUGUUGCUCAAGAAGUAACUUCUCAAUAAGACAUGAACUAUAGAAGUAUACAGAAUUUUAGCAUUUAUUUGAACUGGGACAACANNNACAGACAAUUACAUAUAAAUUGUGGAAAAAUACUUCACCUACCUCACACUUUUUAAUUACCCCCUCUUACUUCUUGAGCAACAAUAAGU
rnacentral:misc_RNA from 1 species